GCCCACCCCCACUUUCUCUCCUUGCCCCCAGCCCUGGAGCGCGGCUUGAGCUGCUCGCCCGGCUCAGCAUCAGGGCUGCGCCGCUGCGGCUGCUUCCCGCGUCCCCCCAGGGCCGCUGCCGCCGGGACAGCGCUAACCAGGGGGCUGGCGCCUUUGCGCACCGCGGACAGCGCCGCAGCCAGAGCAACGGAGCCGCCGCAGACCUACCGGCCGCCGGUCCCCAGUGCUGCAGGGGGCUCCCGACGGGCUCGCCUGGAGGCAGCGCGGGCGGCUCCCUGGCCUAACCGCUCCCCCACCGCCCCCCACCCCAGUUGUGCUGGGUAGUCAACUGCAGAAAAAAUAUAAAAGCCAUUUGGCCCCAUUCUCUUGUCAGCUCCACCCUGGUGACUGCAAUUGAGGUGAAAUGGUUCAAAUAAGAGGACAAUACAGUCCAAUGAUACUGCAAGAAGGUCAUUACAUCAGUAGUUACAAACAAACAUAAAAACUUAUGCUGACAAUACAAUAAGGCAUUCUACAUCUCUCCAUUCUUUUUCUAUAAAAAUCCUUAGUUCAGUGAAAAGAUGCAAGAUAGGCAAGGGAGAAAAAAAAAACUAGCUGAUAAUAAAUUAUGCUAACAUAGUAAGAAUAGACCACACUAA